rnacentral:misc_RNA from 1 species
UCAAACUUGGUCAUUUAGAGGAAGUAAAAGUCGUAACAAGGUCUCCGUAGGUGAACCUGCGGAGGGAUCAUUACAGAGUUCGUGCCCGUCUGGGUAGAUCUCCCACCCGUUGUCAUUACUACAAUCGUUGCUUUGGCGGGCCGUCGGGCCCCGCCCGGCCGCCAGCCUUGGGCUGGUGCGUGCCCGCCAGAGGCCCCAUAGACUCUGAAUGUUAGUGUCGUCCGAGUACUACAUAAUAGUUAAAACUUUCAACAACGGAUCUCUUGGUUCUGGCAUCGAUGAAGAACGCAGC